UGAGCGCUGAUUGGCUCCGGCUUGGGAAGCGGCAGAAAAGGCCGGCGUGUGGGGCGGGCCUGGGGAAGGGACUCCCGCGGCCCUAAGGUGCUGGCGGGCGUUUGGCGUUGCAGCUGUGUGGGCGCUGGUGCGUGCGAGUAGCGCUCGAAGAAACCCAAAGGCGUCGUGGGGCUGCCGUGUGCCCCAGAGAGCACUGCAGGCCGGGUAGGGGCUAAGGCUCCCCGCAGUCUUCUGUGUGUCGUCCAGUACGCAGUUGAAAUCGUUCUCCAACCUGGCCAGUCCUCCGAGGCCCUUCUCAGGCGACCAGACUCUGUUAACAGAGUCCAUUGCUAAAACUCCUCGUUAGUAUUUACCACUCCUCCAGUCUGUGUUUUGAAGCAGUGGUUUUCAACCACUGCCCGUUUUCAGAAGAAAUCAUCUCAAGCGUCCGUGUGCUGCUAGAAGCCGGGCCGGGAGGUCUUGGUGCCGGACUCCACCCUGCAGCCCUUCCCUUUCGCCACCGCCCUGUGCUUAGAGAAACCUUAGAGUGGAGCAAUGAGUCGCCCUUGACUGAGUAACUCUUCGGGGUCAACUUCUCCUUCCACGCCAAGGAAAGGAUUCCAGGGCGAUGUUUCUGGAAAUAGAGAUCUGACCAAGCCACUGCUCUGGUGAAAAUUCAGUGGGUCCCUAGCACCUAGUGCAGCGGCUCCUAGCCUGAGUAUUGCCGUCUUUCGGUGGGGAGGGGUUGGGUUUUUUUGUAGCAUCUGUUGAUCUGAUCUCCAACAUCCUCCACGUCAAUUCCCACUCCACCCACAUCCCUUAUCCUAUACGUAAGCUUUCCAGCCACGGUGCUGGCUUGGGUGGGGGUGCGUGCGGUGCUGACACCAAAAUGGAGGUCCCGUGUUUCUGAGAGUCUCUUUCAGAGCAAUGCAAACCUGAAACUACUCCUGCCAAGAAACGAUUGCAGCUCUUCCCGGAAAAGUUAAAGCCUUUGAGAAACAAAGCUGAGGGCCUAGGGGAUGCCAAAUUCCAGGGUCCAGAAAGAGCUUGGGAUAAAAUGAACAUCCAAGGGGAGGGCUUUGACCUGGGCUGAGUCUGCCUGUGCCGAGUCUGCCUGUGCCAUCCAACUGGAGUCUCAAGUCCUGAGGCAGGACGUCCAGAUGCCCCAGUGCAGGGUCCUCCUGAUCAACACCUGCUCCCCUGUACUCAUUAGCAACCUCACCCACCCUACUCUCAAAGCACACUUGGCUCUCAUAUCCAGGAGCUCUGCAUCUGUAGAUUCAGCAACAGCAGAUGGAAAAUAUUCAGAAAAUAAAUUGGACAGUUAUAUUUCUAUUGAACAUGUGCA
ensembl:lncRNA novel transcript